CAACAUUGGGCUUCUGAAAAAUUCCAAAACAAAAGUAAUACUGCUAAAGGGAAUCGGGCUGUAGAGAAUGGAGCAACAGCCUACACUGGUGGCUCCAUAUCUGCAGGAGCCCACUUUGAAAAAUUGGCGAAGGAGCUAAAUCGUCCCCCUACUGCUUGGGAAUUAGUGGAAAAGACAAAAAACUUAAGACUGGAGAAUGGGUCAGUGAUAAAGCCCGCAACAUUGCUGAGAAAUAUAAGGAGCGUCUAAUUGAAGUCAAGCAACAAGCUACACAGGAUGACACAGAGGGCUCAGCUUCUACUUGUAUUAGUGAUAAUGAAGUUUAUUUGUAGGUGGUUAAAAAGAAUCCGAAGCGGAA